GGGGUUGUGGCUCAGAGGUAGAGCUCUUGCCUAGCAUACAUGAGGCACUGGGUUUGAUCCUCAGCACCACA
rnacentral:tRNA from 1 species